AUGAAGAUUAAAUGUUAUUCAGAGGGAAAUUCUAGCCUGGAUGUCAGGGGAGAAGCUUCUAAUGGUAGCCAGCACUGUUCACAUCACAUUACAACAGCAUGCUUACGAGCUCAUCAAGAGAAGACUGUAGUAGAUCAUGUGCCUUGUAAAACUGAUGCUUCAGUGCAAACAUACAAAGGAUGUGCCUGGUCUGAAGAGUUGCUGAGAAUGUCACAGAGUCCUGCUAUGGCUUGUGGCCCAUUUACUGUCCAUGGAUUCAUGCACCCACUCAUCCCUCCAGCCACCUGUCCUGCAACAUUUUGAUGUACGUACCCAGAAACUGCUGGUAGGAUGGCAGCCAUCAGCUUCCAAAGCCAGGUAUUAUUAUUAUUAUUAUUAUUAUUAUUAUUAUUAUUAUUAUUAUUAUUAUUAUUAUUUCCUUUUAACAGGAAAAUUGUAUGUUCUAUCCACUCUACAGUCUAAAUCAAACUGCA
rnacentral:lncRNA from 1 species